GAUGAAGAACGUAGCGAAAUGCGAUAAGUAAUGUGAAUUGCAGAAUUCAGUGAAUCAUCGAAUCUUUGAACGCACAUUGCGCCCGCCAGUAUUCUGGCGGGCAUGCCUGUUCGAGCGUCAUUUCAACCCUCAAGCCCAGCUUGGUGUUGGGGAUCGGCACAGGCGCCCUCGGGCGCCCGCCGUCCCCUAAAUCUAGUGGCGGUCCCGCUGCAGCCUCCUCUGCGUAGUAGUUUUCUCCUCGCAAGGGCAGCUCGGUGGCGACCUCGCCGUAAAACCCCCAACUUCUGAAAGGAUGACCUCGAAUCAGGUAGGAAUACCCGCUGAACUUAAGCAUAUCAAUAAGCGGAGGA
rnacentral:misc_RNA from 1 species